AUUGAACGCUGGCGGCAUGCCUUACACAUGCAAGUCGAACGGUAACAGGUCUUCGGAUGCUGACGAGUGGCGAACGGGUGAGUAAUACAUCGGAACGUGCCCGAUCGUGGGGGAUAACGAGGCGAAAGCUUUGCUAAUACCGCAUACGAUCUACGGAUGAUAGCGGGGGAUCUUCGGACCUCGCGCGGACGGAGCGGCCGAUGGCAGAUUAGGUAGUUGGUGGGAUAAAAGCUUACCAAGCCGACGAUCUGUAGCUGGUCUGAGAGGAUGAUCAGCCACACUGGGACUGAGACACGGCCCAGACUCCUACGGGAGGCAGCAGUGGGGAAUUUUGGACAAUGGGCGAAAGCCUGAUCCAGCCAUGCCGCGUGCAGGAUGAAGGCCUUCGGGUUGUAAACUGCUUUUGUACGGAACGAAAAGCCUCUUUCUAAUAAAGAGGGGUCAUGACGGUACCGUAAGAAUAAGCACCGGCUAACUACGUG
rnacentral:rRNA from 1 species